ensembl:snRNA Gm22458 predicted gene, 22458
AUGCUUGCUUCAGUGGCACACAUACUAAAAUUGGAAUGAUACCGAAAAGAUUAGCAUGGCCCCUGCACAAGGAUGACAUGCAAAUUCAUGAAGCACUCCAUAUUUUU